GAUUCUCCUGCCUCAGCCUCCCAAGUAGCUGGGAUUACAGAAACUAUAAACAUUGAAAGGAAUGCUGGGGCCUCCAAAAUCUGCAAUUACAUUUCUCAUAAAUGGCAACUCAUUGUCAUCCUGCGGACAUGGAUUAAACCACAGGACGGGGUCUGAACCGGGAACACUUGCAGGUUAACAGCAACAACAUCCAUCCCAACAGAAUCACCCCCAUCGCGGUGAGCAAUGAGCAAAAACAUGGCUCAGAAACCGAUUCCCCAGAUGUUCAAUAAAGGACAUUUAAAUGAGACAUUUACCAUCUGGUUAAUAACACAGCAUUGAGUGGGACUUGGUAACAAUAUCCCAAUACGUAAGCUUUUAAAAUCAGUUCUUUUCCCUGAGCAUAAAACUGCUUCUCCAUCUGCCCUAUGAAAACAAGCGAUAAAUAAAUGUUUGUUCAACCUCA